GUCUCCACCCGAGACUCAGUGAAAUUGAACUCGCUGUGAAGAUGCAGUGUACCCGCGGCAAGACGGAAAGACCCCGUGAACCUUUACUAUAGCUUGACACUGAACAUUGAGCCUUGAUGUGUAGGAUAGGUGGGAGGCUUUGAAGCGUGGACGCCAGUCUGCGUGGAGCCAACCUUGAAAUACCACCCUUUAAUGUUUGAUGUUCUAACGUUGGCCCCUGACCGGGGUUGCGGACAGUGUCUGGUGGGUAGUUUGACUGGGGCGGUCUCCUCCCAAAGCGUAACGGAGGAGCACGAAGGUUAGCUA
rnacentral:rRNA from 1 species